GCGGCGCUUCCUGGGAAGAGGGGCUCCGCGAGGCGGCGUGCGCGGUGACUCAGCGCAGAGGUCCUCCUCCGCUCCCGGUCUUCGGGCUUUGCUCUCCUUGGGCCCGAGCCGUCCUGUGCGCUCUUCGGCCGCUGGAAGCCCUGAGUAUCUCGGAAGUUUUGAUUUGGAACCGGGAAAGGCUUUGAAGUUGCUCAGAGUUAUGGGGAGAGACCACCGGUUUCCGGAGGCCUUUGGGGGAAGUGAAGAACGUCAGAGAGAUUGGUGUUGGCAGUUUUCAGGUUGCGGUUUGCACCUGCGGCCAGCCCAGGGACUGAGAUUUGAAGAGAUUGUCUCACCUCCCUUACCCCGCCAGAAACUCAGAGCAUUUGGUAAGGAAACUGACUAGUGAAACAACUUGAGGAAUGGAGAUGUGAACAGCUAAGCUGCCACCUGCCUCUCCGGGAUCGUAUUUUGUGUAUGGUGCUUCCUCUGUGGACGUUUGUGCAAUGGAUGGAUGAAUGAAUGAAUGAGGAGCAAACACACAUAGGAUUAGAUGGUGCAUCUCCCUGAAGAUCCUUACUGUGUCUGUUCUCCAUGGGCCCGGAGGCUCUCUGCAAAGAUUUCCUCACCCUUGGGACCAAACGUCGUCUGGUCACUCCCCAAGCGCAGUGCUGUUUCAACAGCAGGGCUGUUUUUUGCAUCCAACUAUGACAACGCAGUUGGCUCAUUCAUUGUCGUCAGUGAUGUCAAUCAUCUGGGAAUGGCUCAGGUCAGAAACCCGCUGGAGAAGCUAGGCUACUCCCAGGGCAGGAAUCUCCUCCUCCUUGUGUUCCUGAAGCUAGAACACUGAGUACUAGCCCUGCUUGCAACAGAAGGUCAUCAACAUUUUCUGAUGACCCAGUGAAUGUCUGCUAAAAAUUGUGUGAUUCUGGGGCACCAAGCUGGUUCAGUCAGAAGACCACGCGACUCCUGAUCUCGGGAUCGUGAGUUUGACCCCAUGCUGGGUGUAGAGAUUACUAAAAAAAUAAGCUUAAAAAAUUUUAAAAACUGUGUGAUUCUGACACAUGCUGCAACAUGGAUGAACCUUGAAGACGUUAUGCGAAGUGAAGUGAGUCACACAUAGAAAGACAAAUAUUGUGUGAUUUCACUUAUAUGAGGUCCCUGGAGCAGUCAGCGUCAUGGAGACAGACUGUAGAAUGGUGUCUACCAGGGGCUGGGGAGGGGACACGGGGAGUUCCUGUUUAAUGGGGGCAGAGUUCCGGAGGUGAAUGGCGGUGAUGGUUGCACGACAUUGUGCAUAUGCUUCAUGUCAUAGAACUUAUACUUAAAAAUGGCUAAAAUGGUAAAUUUUAUGUUAUGUGUAUUUUACCACAAUAAAAAAAAUAUAUGCUUGUAAUCCAAUGUCCUAAUUUUUAAAACUGUGGCAUAAUCAAUGAUUACUCAAAGGAAAAUUCUGUGAAUUACCAUUGCAAGAUGUAAAAAUAUCACCUGACUUGCUCAG